UACGAAGGGGGCUAGCGUUGUUCGGAAUUACUGGGCGUAAAGCGCGCGUAGGCGGCUUUGUAAGUUAGAGGUGAAAGCCCGGGGCUCAACCCCGGAAUUGCCUUUAAGACUGCAUCGCUUGAAUCCGGGAGAGGUGAGUGGAAUUCCGAGUGUAGAGGUGAAAUUCGUAGAUAUUCGGAAGAACACCAGUGGCGAAGGCGGCUCACUGGACCGGCAUUGACGCUGAGGUGCGAAAGCGUGGGGAGCAAACAGG
rnacentral:rRNA from 1 species